CCCUAAUAUUCUAUCCAAUAGUUAAUUGACACUUAUUAUAUGCUUAGAAAACCACAUGGUGGCAACUAGAAACUUCUAUAUGGUUGCAAUGAUUCAGCCUGCAUCAAUCCUGUUGGGCCUUUCCUUGCACCAAUUGAAAAGCUCCACUAAACACAAGAUGACAGCAAGUAAACCAACUGAAUCAGAACACAGAUUUGGUUCAGCCCACAGAUUUCAUCUCUCUGUUAAGAAAGAAUCCCACCAAUUCCUCAAUGCUAUACCCUCAAGGUUGUCAAACUCUUUCUCUCACCCUCCAUCUCGUCCUUGUCCUUCACAAUCGCAACCACCGCCACCACCACCACCACCUAUGAGGGAGUGGCCGAGUGAGAGAUUUGCCGGCGGGUGACAGAGAGUUCCGACCGAUAUAGAGAGUUCCGGUGGUGUUUCGCGGUAACACGGCGGUGUUUGACGACGGCGGUGACAGAGCUUCUUUCUCCUUCUUUCCUCUGGUUCGAUAUUUCUUUCUAUACAUUUAUUUGCUUUUUUUUUUUCUGUUGUUUUUUUUUUUGUUGGUUAGGAUGAUUGAAGAUUUGAGGUGGUGGUGAAAUGUGGUGGUUAUGGUGGAUGGCUCUAUGAAAGAGGCAGCUCAGUUUCAAUUUUUGGGUUCUCAAUUUUAGAGAAUACCACAAGCUGUUAGGAAUUUGGGUUUGUCAAUAUGAAGCCAACUUUGGGUCAAGCUCAAAGUAAUUGGGAAGCUGAUAAAAUGCUUGAUGUUUAUAUUCAUGAUUAUUUUCUGAAAAGAAAGUUGAACGCCAGUAGGUAAGAAACUAAGAAACAAAAGUUUCGACGGAUCCAGUAGGCAAGAGGCAGGCUGAGGAAGAAGUACAGGCAGUGAGUGCAAAAAAGCAAAAGCUAGAAGAGGUUCAUCAAAAGAAGGAAGCUGAGUUGAAGAAAUUUAAGAAUGAUGAAAGUAGUUAUGAGGAAGAGGGAAUUUUAGAUUGUAGGAUAUGAUAGAAGACUAUCAAUUUGGUUUGGGGCCUUAGAUCUAUAUGCGACAUGAUUGCCUAAAGAGGGACUUGGAGCUUGAAGUUAUCAACCAAAUUAAUGGAAAAAAGGAGCUGUGAUUAUUUUUGAAUUAUUGUUUAGAGGAAGAGAGAAAUAAUGUACUUUUGCAUCCUUAUUGUGCAUUGAAACUUUUUUUUUCCCUUCAUAUUGUAAUGAUAAUGAUAAUUUAUGUGGUUGUUUUUGUAAAUUGAAUUUGGAUAUAAUGAGAUUGACCUAGAAAAGUCUCCUAUAUUGAAGAAUACAGGAAGGAUGAAUUCUAUUUUGG